UACGUAGGCAGCGAGCGUUGUUCGGAGUUACUGGGCGUAAAGAGUGCGUAGGCGGUUUUCUAAGUUUGGUGUGAAAUCUCCCGGCUUAACUGGGAGGGUGCGCCGAAAACUGGAAGGCUUGAGUAUGGGAGAGGUAAGCGGAAUUCCUGGUGUAGCGGUGAAAUGCGUAGAUAUCAGGAGGAACACCUGCGGUGUAGACGGCUUACUGGACCAUAACUGACGCUGAUGCGCGAAAGCGUGGGUAGCAAACAGG
rnacentral:rRNA from 1 species